UAUGGGAUUCUUCAGAUCCAUAUUAUAAAAUUAGUAGGAAAAAAAAUGAGACAUGGGAAAAUCUUGCCAACAAAUUCUGUACAACAAUACUAGAUGUUAAAAAGAAGUGGCUUUCGUUACAGGCAUCAUACAGAAGAGAGAGAAUGAAGAUGAUUGAUUCUACAAAAGAAACUGAGAAAAAAGUAUGAUCAAAAUGGUUUGCAUAUUGUGCAAUGACAUUCUUAAGAGAUCAUUAUAAAUCAAGAAGGACAAAAGAUAUUUCUGAGACUUUUGAAACAUGUCAACAGGAAGAAAGUAGUAUCCGUAAGAACCAAGAAAGUAUUAACAAAACAGAAAUAAUGUGCCCAAAAGUGGAAGUUACAUCACGCAAACCAGAGAGAAACGUAUGCUUGCGUAAUAAUUCAUUGCGAAGAAAAUAUUUGAAAAUGUUUUAUUCUCCAGAAUUAAG